GAUGAACGCUGGCGGCGUGCUUAACACAUGCAAGUCGAACGGUAAGGCCCUUUCUUGGUUGCGUGAAUCAGUGGCGGACGGGUGAGUCACACGUGAGCAACCCGCCCCUUUCUCUGAGAUCACAGCCGGUAACGCCUAUUCUUACCGGAUAUGCACCCUGCACGCAUGUUGUUUGAUGGGUACGGCGGUUGGGUAGGGGAUGGGCUCCGGGCCUCUCAGCUUGUUGGUGAGGUACUGGCUAACCAAGGCGUCGAAGGGUAGCCGGCCUGAGAGGGUGACCGGCCACACGGGGACUGAGACACGGCCCAGACGCCUACGGGAGGCAGCAGUGGGGAAUAUUGCACAAGGGGCGAAAGCCUGAUGCAGCAACGCCGCGGGAGGGAGGACGGCCUUCGGGUUGUAAACCUCUUUGAGCAGGGAAGAAGCGAGAGUGACGGUACCUGCAGAAAAAGCGCCGGCUAACUACGUG
rnacentral:rRNA from 1 species